rnacentral:rRNA from 1 species
GGUUAAGUUAGAAAGGGCGCACGGUGGAUGCCUUGGCACUAGGAGCCGAAGAAGGACGGGACUAACACCGAUAUGCUUUGGGGAGCUGUACGUAAGCGUUGAUCCAGAGAUUUCCGAAUGGGGGAACCCACUAUCUUUAGUCGGAUAGUAUCCUUACGUGAAUACAUAGCGUGAGGAAGGCAGACCCAGGGAACUGAAACAUCUAAGUACCUGGAGGAAGAGAAAGAAAAAUCGAUUUCCUGAGUAGCGGCGAGCGAAACGGAAAGAGCCCAAACCAAGAAGCUUGCUUCUUGGGGUUGUAGGACACUCUAUACGGAGUUACAAAAGAAAGUUAUAAAUGAAGCGGUCUGGAAAGGCCCGCCAAAGACGGUAACAGCCCGGUAGUUGAAAUGGCUUUCCCUCCAGAGUGGAUCCUGAGUACGGCGGAACACGUGAAAUUCCGUCGGAAUCCGGGAGGACCAUCUCCCAAGGCUAAAUACUCCCUAGUGACCGAUAGUGAACCAGUACCGUGAGGGAAAGGUGAAAAGCACCCCGGAAGGGGAGUGAAACAGUUCCUGAAACCGUGUGCCUACAAGUAGUUAGAGCCCGUUAAUGGGUGAUAGCGUGCCUUUUGUAGAAUGAACCGGCGAGUUACGAUUUGUUGCAAGGUUAAGCGGAAAAAGCGGAGCCGUAGCGAAAGCGAGUCUGAAUAGGGCGCAUAAGUAACAGGUCGUAGACCCGAAACCAGGUGAUCUACCCAUGUCCAGGAUGAAGGUAAGGUAAUACUUACUGGAGGUCCGAACCCACGCACGUUGAAAAGUGCGGGGAUGAGGUGUGGGUAGCGGAGAAAUUCCAAUCGAACUUGGAGAUAGCUGGUUCUCUCCGAAAUAGCUUUAGGGCUAGCCUCGAGGUAAAGAGUCAUGGAGGUAGAGCACUGUUUGGACUAGGGGCCCUUCUCGGGUUACCGAAUUCAGAUAAACUCCGAAUGCCAUGUACUUAUACUCGGGAGUCAGACUGCGAGUGAUAA